CCGUUGCCGGCGACCGGCGCACGGGUGAGUAACACGUAUGCAACCUGCCCCUGUCAGGGGGACAACCCGCCGAAAGGCGGGCUAAACCCGCGUACAUGCCACCGGGGCAUCCCGGAGGCAGGAAAGGCUUCGGCCGGACAGGGAUGGGCAUGCGGCGCAUUAGGCAGUAGGCGGGGUAACGGCCCACCUAACCGACGAUGCGUAGGGGUUCUGAGAGGAAGGUCCCCCACACUGGUACUGAGACACGGACCAGACUCCUACGGGAGGCAGCAG
rnacentral:rRNA from 1 species